rnacentral:tRNA from 1 species
AGAGUAAGGAAUUCAAGAUUAAGCUUCUAACUUAAUUCUUAAGCAAUGAAAUUUGUUUUUACCCUU